UUUCGACAUAAACAUGAAAAUGGAGGGCACGUCGAAUGAGGUAAUAUCCAGCACGACUGAUAAAAUAAACUUAACUGAAGUCGAGGGUGUUGUCCAAUCAUGGAUCAUCGAUUAUUACUUCGCGUCACUCUGUCGGCUCUUCAGAGAGAGAUCUGCGGAGGAGUUUCGUAAAACUUUGAAACUAUUUGAAAGUAUAGUGGAUGAUCUUGAGCCGUGUUCCCACAGGUCAGAUCAUCCCACUCAGAGAACGAUCUGCUGCUUGCUUGCCAGAGUGAUGGACGGAGAAUAUUUGGAAGUCCGGUAUGAUCACGUUUCUCAAAUCACUCCCUUGAUGUCAGCGUUGCCCAUUUGGGAGUCAUUAAAGGAAGUAUCUGAUUCGGACUUGCAUGCCAAGAUCAAGACGCUACUUAUAGUUCAGUCUGUUGCAGUCUGUGUGAAGAAAGGUAAUUCACAGUUGGCAAAAGAAACCCUGAAGUGGCUGGAAAAAGAGACCGAGUUACCAGAGAAACUACAAGGAAAGCUGACCACCAUUGUGAGUAAAAAGGAUGCAUAUGAUCAGCUCCUGAUGAACUUCACUUUCAACCAGCUGCUGGAGAACAUUGACACGUUCCUCGACACAUUCAACCAGGACAGUUCCUCCGUUUUCUUACUCGAAGCAGCUUUAAAAGUCGUUCAAGCCCGUCAUGAGAGAUCAGAGAAAACCUCAUCUGAACAGGAUGGAAGUGAGAAGACGCCAUCGAGCCCAGAGUCAAACAGGCCGGAAGAAAAUGAGGAGCAAGUGGAUCCACUGGUGGUAAAUAUCAGACCCAAAAGGAAACUUCUUUCAAAACAAACCCAUGACCUAUGGAAACCGGAAAGUGCCAAGAAAGUACAAACCUUGCGCAAGAGGACCUCCAUUUGCAAGAUUUCCAGAAGGAGUGGUGUCUCUUCAGAAUUGCAAAGCAAUGUUAGUGUGACAAGCCAAACCAGGAGGAAAUGGACUAAAGAAGAAGAUAGCAAGCUGAAAGCAGGUGUGAGGAAGUAUGGGGAGGGCAAAUGGCGAGUGAUCCUGGACAACUUUGACUUUGACAACCGCACCGGUGUUAAUCUUAAGGACAGAUGGAGAAUCCUGAAGAAAACGGGAGAAGACGAUUAAGCUGCUGGCGGCUUCUGCUUUUACUAUUUAAAGAGCUUUUUGAAAAUAUAUUCCUGACACUGUCAGAGGUGUUUUUUUUUUAUAUAUAUAUAUAUAUAUAUAUAUAUAUAUAUAUAUAUAUAUAUACAUAACUCAUUAACACAAGUGUUUCAGUUUGAGGAACUGAACUGAAAGUUCUAUUGUUAUGCAUGCAGUUUCACAAAGUAACUUUGGAAUUCAUCAGCGCUAUUUUUGUAAAUUAAACUGUUUAGCUGAAGUAUUGUUGCUGAAAAACAAACUUUCUGUUGCUGUUUGUUUGAACUGCAGCACCAACUUUUAUCCACUAGAGGAUGCAGGUGAGGCAAAUGAGCAGUGCUGGAGUCUCUGUACUUUCCUCCAUGUUCCUCUGCAGCGAGGGCUUCCCACCGCCUGCCAGUGUAGAAGCUUAUCCCUGCCAACAC